rnacentral:rRNA from 1 species
UACGUAGGGGGCAAGCGUUGUCCGGAAUCAUUGGGCGUAAAGAGCGUGUAGGCGGCUUGCUAAGUCUUGCGUGAAAUCUCGGGGCUCAACCCCGAGCGGUCGUGGGAAACUGGCAGGCUAGAGUGCGGGAGAGGAGAAUGGAAUUCCUGGUGUAGCGGUGAAAUGCGCAGAUAUCAGGAAGAACACCCGUGGCGAAGGCGGUUCUCUGGAACGCAACUGACGCUGAGACGCGAAAGCGUGGGGAGCAAACAGG